rnacentral:rRNA from 1 species
UACGUAGGGGGCAAGCGUUAUCCGGAUUUACUGGGUGUAAAGGGAGCGUAGACGGCAGGGCAAGUCUGGAGUGAAAGGCGAGGGCUCAACCCCCGGACUGCUCUGGAAACUGCCAGGCUGGAGUGCAGGAGAGGUAAGUGGAAUUCCUAGUGUAGCGGUGAAAUGCGUAGAUAUUAGGAGGAACACCAGUGGCGAAGGCGGCUUACUGGACUGUAACUGACGUUGAGGCUCGAAAGCGUGGGGAGCAAACAGG